AAAUGAAGCAUUUGUAAAGGUUUGUUAACACAAACUUUAAGUCAAAAUAGAUUUGGAGACACUUGGCAAGUUAAUUUACAACUUUCCCACCAGAUGACGUACAAGUCAACCCCAAAGUGAACUCAGUUUCGGGGAACGAUUUGGUUGAAGUCAAUGCGAGCAUGUUUAAUAGUCUCACAUACCACUAAGCUAGAUCUUGAUGAGAAUAAAAUCACUAAGAUGGAAGAUUAUUCUUUUUUCUAAUUUAGCUGCUAAUUGUAAGAUUUGAAAUGUUUACUUAUAUGUAAA